rnacentral:rRNA from 1 species
CCGGCGUGCCUAAUACAUGCAAGUCGAACGAACUCUGGUAUUGAUUGGUGCUUGCAUCAUGAUUUACAUUUGAGUGAGUGGCGAACUGGUGAGUAACACGUGGGAAACCUGCCCAGAAGCGGGGGAUAACACCUGGAAACAGAUGCUAAUACCGCAUAACAACUUGGACCGCAUGGUCCGAGUUUGAAAGAUGGCUUCGGCUAUCACUUUUGGAUGGUCCCGCGGCGUAUUAGCUAGAUGGUGGGGUAACGGCUCACCAUGGCAAUGAUACGUAGCCGACCUGAGAGGGUAAUCGGCCACAUUGGGACUGAGACACGGCCCAAACUCCUACGGGAGGCAGCAGUAGGGAAUCUUCCACAAUGGACGAAAGUCUGAUGGAGCAACGCCGCGUGAGUGAAGAAGGGUUUCGGCUCGUAAAACUCUGUUGUUAAAGAAGAACAUAUCUGAGAGUAACUGUUCAGGUAUUGACGGUAUUUAACCAGAAAGCCACGGCUAACUACGUGCCAGCAGCCGCGGUAAUACGUAGGUGGCAAGCGUUGUCCGGAUUUAUUGGGCGUAAAGCGAGCGCAGGCGGUUUUUUAAGUCUGAUGUGAAAGCCUUCGGCUCAACCGAAGAAGUGCAUCGGAAACUGGGAAACUUGAGUGCAGAAGAGGACAGUGGAACUCCAUGUGUAGCGGUGAAAUGCGUAGAUAUAUGGAAGAACACCAGUGGCGAAGGCGGCUGUCUGGUCUGUAACUGACGCUGAGGCUCGAAAGUAUGGGUAGCAAACAGGAUUAGAUACCCUGGUAGUCCAUACCGUAAACGAUGAAUGCUAAGUGUUGGAGGGUUUCCGCCCUUCAGUGCUGCAGCUAACGCAUUAAGCAUUCCGCCUGGGGAGUACGGCCGCAAGGCUGAAACUCAAAGGAAUUGACGGGGGCCCGCACAAGCGGUGGAGCAUGUGGUUUAAUUCGAAGCUACGCGAAGAACCUUACCAGGUCUUGACAUACUAUGCAAAUCUAAGAGAUUAGACGUUCCCUUCGGGGACAUGGAUACAGGUGGUGCAUGGUUGUCGUCAGCUCGUGUCGUGAGAUGUUGGGUAAAGUCCCGCAACGAGCGCAACCCUUAUUAUCAGUUGCCAGCAUUAAGUUGGGCACUCUGGUGAGACUGCCGGUGACAAACCGGAGGAAGGUGGGGAUGACGUCAAAUCAUCAUGCCCCUUAUGACCUGGGCUACACACGUGCUACAAUGGAUGGUACAACGAGUUGCGAACUCGCGAGAGUAAGCUAAUCUCUUAAAGCCAUUCUCAGUUCGGAUUGUAGGCUGCAACUCGCCUACAUGAAGUCGGAAUCGCUAGUAAUCGCGGAUCAGCAUGCCGCGGUGAAUACGUUCCCGGGCCUUGUACACACCGCCCGUCACACCAUGAGAGUUUGUAACACCCAAAGUCGGUGGGGUAACCUUUUAGGAACCAGCCGCCUAAGGUGGACAGAAU